rnacentral:rRNA from 1 species
AACGAACGCUGGCAGCAGGCUUAACACAUGCAAGUCGAACGCAUCCUUCGGGGUGAGUGGCAGACGGGUGAGUAACGCGUGGGAACGUGCCCUUCAGUUCGGGAUAACCCAGGGAAACUUGGGCUAAUACCGGAUACGUGCGAGAGCAGAAAGAUUUAUCGCUGAAGGAUCGGCCCGCGUCUGAUUGGCUAGUUGGUGGGGUAAUGGCCCACCAAGGCGACGAUCAGUAGCUGGUCUGAGAGGAUGAUCAGCCACAUUGGGACUGAGACACGGCCCAAACUCCUCCGGGAGGCAGCAGUGGGGAAUAUUGGACAAUGGGCGCAAGCCCGAUCCAGCCAUGCCGCGUGAGUGAUGAAGGCCUUAGGGUUGUAAAGCUCUUUCGUCCGGGACGAUAAUGACGGUACCGGAAGAAGAAGCCCCGGCUAACUUCGUGCCAGCCGCCGCAGUAA